UACGAAGGGGGGCUAGCGUUGCUCGGAAUGACUGGGCGUAAAGGGCGCGUAGGCGGUUCAUACAGUCAGAUGUGAAAUUCCCGGGCUUAACCUGGGGGGCUGCAUUUGAUACGUGUGGGCUUGAGUGAGGAAGAGGGUUGUGGAAUUCCCAGUGUAGAGGUGAAAUUCGUAGAUAUUGGGAAGAACACCGGUGGCGAAGGCGGCAACCUGGUCCUUUACUGAGCUGAGGCGCGAAACUGGGGGAGCAAAACGG
rnacentral:rRNA from 1 species